AACGAACGCUGGCGGCAUGCCUAACACAUGCAAGUCGAACGAGAUCCUUCGGGGUCUAGUGGCGCACGGGUGCGUAACGCGUGGGAAUCUGCCCUUAGGUUCGGAAUAACAGUUAGAAAUGACUGCUAAUACCGGAUGAUGACGUUAAGUCCAAAGAUUUAUCGCCUGAGGAUGAGCCCGCGUAGGAUUAGCUAGUUGGUGUGGUAAAGGCGCACCAAGGCGACGAUCCUUAGCUGGUCUGAGAGGAUGAUCAGCCACACUGGGACUGAGACACGGCCCAGACUCCUACGGGAGGCAGCAGUGGGGAAUAUUGGACAAUGGGCGCAAGCCUGAUCCAGCAAUGCCGCGUGAGUGGUGAAGGCCUUAGGGUUGUAAAGCUCUUUUACCCGAGAUGAUAAUGACAGUAUCGGGAGAAUAAGCCCCGGCUAACUCCGUG
rnacentral:rRNA from 1 species